rnacentral:miRNA from 1 species
AACGUGCGUUUCUUUUGUGUCCU